UGGCAAGAUGUCGGCAUAGCUGACGUUUCAAAGCGCAUUGCAUAGCGCUAUGCUGCAUCUAGUCAGU
rnacentral:pre_miRNA from 1 species